rnacentral:rRNA from 1 species
UACGGGGGGAGCAAACGUUGUUCGGAAUCAUUGGGCGUAAAGGGUGCGUAGGCGGCGCGACAAGUCAGGCGUGAAAGCCCCGGGCUCAACCCGGGAAUUGCGCUUGAUACUGUCGUGCUUGAGGCCGGGAGAGGAUGGCGGAAUUCCCAGUGUAGAGGUGAAAUUCGUAGAUAUUGGGAAGAACACCGGUGGCGAAGGCGGCCUGCUGGGCUGUUGCUGACGCUGAGGCGCGACAGCGUGGGGAGCAAACAGG